CCUUGAACUCUUACCAUCCUGAACGUGCCAGUCUCGAGUGCUUCUGGAAGCUAAGCAGGACCAGUCUUGGUCAGAACUUGGAUGGGAGACCAGCAAGACGUACCAGGGGUCUCCAUAA
rnacentral:rRNA from 1 species